rnacentral:sRNA from 1 species
AACGUGGUGGCCGCGCACCCGGCCGCGGCUGAUUCAUUCACUUCAAGUGCCGUGCAGAAGGCUCGGCAGGCGGGGCGGGCGUGGGGCCGCGGCUCCGGGUUGGGGACCGAGGAGAUCCGGCUGUGGACCAGACGCUCCUCUGCGGGGCGGGCACCCAAGCGCGCUCGCCACCCCCUCGCCAUCCGCUAGAGCCGGGCUCCUGGACUGGGACUCGGGCCCGCCGCACAGUUGAAAAGUCGCAUAGUGGUUUUUCCGCUCGCGUCGCUGUGUGAAAGUUGGCUCGCCGCUCUUUGCACGCCCUCCCUGGAGGCCGACCCGAGACGCCAAGCUGGAGAGACCGUGCCUCCCCGAGGCCGGCCGCCCCGCGAGCACAGCCUCCGCCCCCGUUGCACUGCCGGGCUGGGCAAUAUGAAGGAGCAGCCCUCAUGUGCCGGCACCGGGCAUCCGAGCAUGGCGGGGUAUGGCAGGAUGGCCCCCUUUGAACUCGCUAGCGGACCCGUGAAGCGCUUGAGAACUGAGUCCCCCUUUCCCUGUCUCUUCGCAGAGGAGGCCUACCAGAAACUGGCCAGCGAGACCCUGGAGGAGCUGGACUGGUGUCUGGACCAGCUAGAGACCCUACAGACCAGGCACUCCGUCAGUGAGAUGGCCUCCAACAAGUUUAAAAGGAUGCUUAAUCGGGAGCUCACCCAUCUCUCUGAAAUGAGUCGGUCUGGAAAUCAAGUGUCAGAGUUUAUAUCAAACACAUUCUUAGAUAAGCAACAUGAAGUGGAAAUUCCUUCUCCAACUCAGAAGGAAAAGGAGAAAAAGAAAAGACCGAUGUCUCAGAUCAGUGGAGUCAAGAAAUUGAUGCACAGCUCUAGUCUGACUAAUUCAAGUAUCCCAAGGUUUGGAGUUAAAACUGAACAAGAAGAUGUCCUUGCCAAGGAACUAGAAGAUGUGAACAAAUGGGGUCUUCAUGUUUUCAGAAUAGCAGAGUUGUCUGGUAACCGGCCCUUGACUGUUAUCAUGCACACCAUAUUUCAGGAACGGGAUUUAUUAAAAACAUUUAAAAUUCCAGUAGAUACUUUAAUUACAUAUCUUAUGACUCUCGAAGACCAUUACCAUGCUGAUGUGGCCUAUCACAACAAUAUCCAUGCUGCAGAUGUUGUCCAGUCUACUCAUGUGCUAUUAUCUACACCUGCUUUGGAGGCUGUGUUUACAGAUUUGGAGAUUCUUGCAGCAAUUUUUGCCAGUGCAAUACAUGAUGUAGAUCAUCCUGGUGUGUCCAAUCAAUUUCUGAUCAAUACAAACUCUGAACUUGCCUUGAUGUACAAUGAUUCCUCAGUCUUAGAGAACCAUCAUUUGGCUGUGGGCUUUAAAUUGCUUCAGGAAGAAAACUGUGACAUUUUCCAGAAUUUGACCAAAAAACAAAGACAAUCUUUAAGGAAAAUGGUCAUUGACAUCGUACUUGCAACAGAUAUGUCAAAACACAUGAAUCUACUGGCUGAUUUGAAGACUAUGGUUGAAACUAAGAAAGUGACAAGCUCUGGAGUUCUUCUUCUUGAUAAUUAUUCCGAUAGGAUUCAGGUUCUUCAGAAUAUGGUGCACUGUGCAGAUCUGAGCAACCCAACAAAGCCUCUCCAGCUGUACCGCCAGUGGACGGACCGGAUAAUGGAGGAGUUCUUCCGCCAAGGAGACCGAGAGAGGGAACGUGGCAUGGAGAUAAGCCCCAUGUGUGACAAGCACAAUGCUUCCGUGGAAAAAUCACAGGUGGGCUUCAUAGACUAUAUUGUUCAUCCCCUCUGGGAGACAUGGGCAGACCUCGUCCACCCUGACGCCCAGGAUAUUUUGGACACUUUGGAGGACAAUCGUGAAUGGUACCAGAGCACAAUCCCUCAGAGCCCCUCUCCUGCACCUGAUGACCCAGAGGAGGGCCGGCAGGGUCAAACUGAGAAAUUCCAGUUUGAACUAACUUUAGAGGAAGAUGGUGAGUCAGACACGGAAAAGGACAGUGGCAGUCAAGUGGAAGAAGACACUAGCUGCAGUGACUCCAAGACUCUUUGUACUCAAGACUCAGAGUCUACGGAAAUUCCCCUUGAUGAACAGGUUGAAGAGGAGGCAGUAGGGGAAGAAGAGGAAAGCCAGCCUGAAGCCUGUGUCAUAGAUGAUCGUUCUCCUGACACGUAACAGUGCAAA